UUGUGAUGUUCCCGACCUUUGCUUUAAUAAAGUUUCUCUGACUGUCCCCUAUACCCCUGCUCUACUGGAUUGCAAUUUUUUCCAACUUGUCAGCAAGUUUGUAUAGGUCCCCAAAGAUGUUUUUGAAUUUUUGUUCUGAAAAUCCCACCUUUCUAUCAGUUUGUGUCCUUGAAUUCAAAAAUCAGUGCUUGAUUCAGUCAACCGAUAAUGUUGUGGGCCGGUCUAGGACAAAAAUGCCAGGGCUGAUUUUCUGCCCCAGUCCACCCCUGGCUGACAGUGAUGUGUGUUUUUAUGCAUUUGGCACAGCAGCAGUUCCUUCAUGAACACAGGAUCUAACUGAAUAAUGUUCUGUGUUCUUCUACACAUCCAACAGAUCAGCUGUUCCACACAAACUCCAGGUUAAUAAGGAGGAUAAUCUGUCUUCAAGCUUCUCUGGAUGCUGGAUGAUCAAGAGUCAUUCUGGAUCGUGCAUCAUUUGAAGGCCUGGAACCAGAACCUCGGAGUCUAUAAAAGCCCUGCCGACUUUCCAUUUGUCCCUGUUUGCACUUGGACUUUUUGAGGACUUUUGCAAAUCGACCUGAGCUGACAGCUGACCUCUUUGGAGAUCUCUGGUAAGCAUUUACAAAACCCAAACUUUCUGCGAAGUGAACUCUAUUUCUGGAAGAAGAAGAAGAAGAAGAAGAAGAAGAAGAAGAA